GAGAUAUAUUGAUGAGAUAUAUUUUUCUUUUUCUGCAGCUAAUACAGACUAUAAGUGCAGUAGACAAAGAUGACCCUUUAGGUGGACAGAAAUUUUUUUUCAGUUUAGCUGCUGUCAAUCCAAACUUCACAGUACAGGAUAAUGAAGAUAAUACUGCCAGAAUCUUAACCAGAAAAAAUGGAUUCAAUAGACAUGAAAUCAGUACCUAUCUCUUGCCUGUGGUGAUAUCAGACAAUGAUUACCCAAUUCAGAGCAGCACAGGCACACUGACCAUUCGAGUGUGUGCUUGUGACAGCCAAGGCAACAUGCAAUCCUGCAGUGCUGAAGCCCUGCUCCUCCCUGCCGGCCUCAGCACCGGGGCCUUGAUCGCCAUCCUCCUCUGCAUCAUCAUUCUACUGGUUAUAGUAGUACUGUUUGCAGCUCUGAAAAGACAGCGAAAAAAAGAGCCUCUGAUCUUGUCAAAAGAAGAUAUCAGAGACAACAUUGUGAGCUAUAACGAUGAGGGUGGUGGAGAGGAGGACACCCAGGCCUUUGAUAUCGGCACCCUGAGGAAUCCUGCAGCCAUUGAGGAAAAAAAGCUCCGGCGAGAUAUUAUUCCAGAAACGUUAUUUAUUCCUCGGAGGACUCCUACAGCUCCAGAUAACACGGACGUCCGGGAUUUCAUUAAUGAAAGGCUAAAAGAGCAUGAUCUUGACCCCACCGCACCCCCCUACGACUCACUUGCAACCUAUGCCUAUGAAGGAAAUGAUUCCAUUGCUGAAUCUCUGAGUUCAUUAGAAUCAGGUACUACUGAAGGAGACCAAAACUACGAUUACCUCCGAGAAUGGGGCCCUCGGUUUAAUAAGCUAGCAGAAAUGUAUGGUGGUGGGGAAAGUGACAAAGACUCUUAACGUAGGAUAUAUGUUCUAUUCAAACAAGAGAAAGUAACUCUACCCAUGCUGUCUCCACUUCACAAUAUUUGAUAUUCAGGAGCAUUUUCCUGCCAGUCAGCACAAUUUUUUUUCUCAUUUACUUCUUAAUU
rnacentral:sRNA from 1 species